rnacentral:rRNA from 1 species
GACGAACGCUGGCGGCGUGCUUAACACAUGCAAGUCGAACGGAAAGGCCCUGCUUGCAGGGUACUCGAGUGGCGAACGGGUGAGUAACACGUGGGUGAUCUGCCCUGCACUUCGGGAUAAGCCUGGGCAACUGGGUCUAAUACCGGAUAGGAGCCAUUUUUAGUGUGAUGGUUGGAAAGUUUUUUCGGUGUAGGAUGAGCUCGCGGCCUAUCAGCUUGUUGGUGGGGUAAUGGCCUACCAAGGCGGCGACGGGUAGCCGGCCUGAGAGGGUGGACGGCCACAUUGGGACUGAGAUACGGCCCAGACUCCUACGGGAGGCAGCAGUGGGGAAGAUUGCACAAUGGGCGCAAGCCUGAUGCAGCGACGCCGCGUGGGGGAUGACGGCCUUCGGGUUGUAAACUCCUUUCGCUAGGGACGAAGCUUUUUGUGACGGUACCUAGAUAAGAAGCACCGGCUAACUACGUG